rnacentral:rRNA from 1 species
AGCGAACGCUGGCGGCAUGCCUAACACAUGCAAGUCGAACGAGAUCUUCGGAUCUAGUGGCGCACGGGUGCGUAACACGUGGGAAUCUGCCCUUGGGUUCGGAGUAACUCUCCGAAAGGAGUGCUAAUACCGGAUGAUGUCGAAAGACCAAAGAUUUAUCGCCCGGGGAUGAUCCCGCGUAGGAUUAGUUAGUUGGUGAGGUAAAGGCUCACCAAGGCGACAAUCCUUAGCUGGUCUGAGAGGAUGAACAGCCACACCGGGACUGAGACACGGCCGAGACCCGUACGGGAGGAAGAAGUGGGGAAUAUUGGACAAUGGGCGAAAGCCUUAUCCGGCAAUGCCGAGUGAGUGAUGAAGGACUUAGGGUUGAAAAGCUCUUUUACCCGGGAUGUUAAUUACAGUACCGGGAGAACAAGCCCCGGAUAUCUCCGAGCCAGCCGCCGCCGUAAGAC